UACGUAGGUGGCAAGCGUUGUCCGGAUUUACUGGGCGUAAAGAGCGCGCAGGCGGUCGUUCAAGUCGCGUGUGAAAGCCCCCGGCUCAACUGGGGAGGGUCACGCGAUACUGAUCGACUCGAAGGCAGGAGAGGGAAGUGGAAUUCCCGGUGUAGUGGUGAAAUGCGCAGAUAUCAGGAAGAACACCUAUGGCGAAGGCAGCUCUCUGGGACGGUACUGACGCUGAGACGCGAAAGCGUGGGGAGCGAACAGG
rnacentral:rRNA from 1 species